CGUAGGGGGCAAGCGUUGUCCGGAUUUAUUGGGCGUAAAGCGCGUGUAGGCGGCCAGGUAGGUCGGUUGUGAAAACUCGAGGCUCAACCUCGAGACGUCGACCGAAACCAUCUGGCUAGAGUCCGGAAGAGGAGAGUGGAAUUCCUGGUGUAGCGGUGAAAUGCGCAGAUAUCAGGAAGAACACCCGUGGCGAAGGCGGCUCUCUGGGACGGUACUGACGCUGAGACGCGAAAGCGUGGGGAGCGAACAGGAUUAGAUACCCUGGUAGUCCACGCCGUAAACGAUGGGAACUAGGUGUGGGCGGUGUCGACUCCGUCCGUGCCGAAGCUAACGCAUUAAGUUCCCCGCCUGGGGAGUACGGCCGCAAGGCUA
rnacentral:rRNA from 1 species